rnacentral:rRNA from 1 species
AGAGUUUGAUCAUGGCUCAGGACGAACGCUGGCGGCGUGCUUAACACAUGCAAGUCGAACGAGAGGACAAGAGAAGCUUGCUUCUUUUGGAAUCGAGUGGCAAACGGGUGAGUAACACGUAAACAACCUGCCUUCAGGAUGGGGACAACAGACGGAAACGACUGCUAAUACCGAAUACGCUUGGAAGACCGCAUGAUCUUCCAAGGGAAGGGUGGCCUCUACCUGUAAGCUAUCGCCUGAAGAGGGGUUUGCGUCUGAUUAGGCAGUUGGUGAGGUAACGGCCCACCAAACCUACGAUCAGUAGCCGGUCUGAGAGGAUGAACGGCCACACUGGAACUGAGACACGGUCCAGACUCCUACGGGAGGCAGCAGUGGGGAAUCUUCCGCAAUGGGCGAAAGCCUGACGGAGCAACGCCGCGUGAGUGAUGACGGCCUUCGGGUUGUAAAGCUCUGUGAUCGGGGACGAACGGUCCGUAAGUCAAUACCUUAUGGAAGUGACGGUACCCGAAUAGCAAGCCACGGCUAACUACGUGCCAGCAGCCGCGGUAAUACGUAGGUGGCAAGCGUUGUCCGGAAUUAUUGGGCGUAAAGCGCGCGCAGGCGGCUUUCUAAGUCCAUCUUAAAAGUGCGGGGCUUAACCCCGUGAUGGGAUGGAAACUGGAAAGCUGGAGUAUCGGAGAGGAAAGUGGAAUUCCUAGUGUAGCGGUGAAAUGCGUAGAGAUUAGGAAGAACACCGGUGGCGAAGGCGACUUUCUGGACGACAACUGACGCUGAAGCUCGAAAGUGCGGGUAUCGAACAGGAUUAGAUACCCUGGUAGUCCGCACGGUAAACGAUGGAUGCCCGCUGUUGGCCUGAAUAGGUCAGCGGCCAAGCGAAAGCAUUAAGCAUCCCACCUGGGGAGUACGCCGGCAACGGUGAAACUCAAAGGAAUUGACGGGGGCCCGCACAAGCGGAGAAACAUGUGGUUUAAUUCGAUGAUACGCGAGGAACCUUACCCGGGCUUGAAUUGCAGAGGAAGGAUUUGGAGACAAUGACGCCCUUCGGGGCCUCUGUGAAGGUGCUGCAUGGUUGUCGUCAGCUCGUGCCGUGAGGUGUCGGCUUAAGUGCCAUAACGAGCGCAACCCCUCUCCUUAGUUGCCAUCAGGUCAUGCUGGGCACUCUGGGGACACUGCCACCGUAAGGUGUGAGGAAGGUGGGGAUGACGUCAAAUCAGCACGGCCCUUACGUCCGGGGCUACACACGUGUUACAAUGGCAGGUACAGAGAGACGGUCCCUUGCAAAAGGGAUCAAAUCCUCAAAGCCUGUCUCAGUUCGGACUGGGGUCUGCAACCCGACCCCACGAAGCUGGAUUCGCUAGUAAUCGCGCAUCAGCCAUGGCGCGGUGAAUACGUUCCCGGGCCUUGUACACACCGCCCGUCAAGCCAUGAAAGCCGGGGGCGCCUAAAGUCCGUGACCGUAAGGAGCGGCCUAGGGCGAAACUGGUAAUUGGGGCUAAGUCGUAACAAGGUA